AGCGAACGCUGGCGGCAGGCCUAACACAUGCAAGUCGAACGAACUCUUCGGUGCUAGUGCCGCACGGGUGUGAAACACGUGGGAACGUGCCCUUUUGUUCGCAAUAACUCACGGAAACACUUGCUAAUAUAGAGUGUGAGCUUCGGCGGAAAGAUUUAUCGCCAUUAGAGCGGCCCGCGUCUGAUUAGCUAGUUGGUGAGGUAACGGCUCACCAAGGCGACGAUCAGUAGCUGGUCUGAGAGGAUGACCAGCCACACUGGGACUGAGACACGGCCCAGACUCCUACGGGAGGCAGCAGUGGGGAAUAUUGCGCAAUGGGCGAAAGCCUGACGCAGCCAUGCCGCGUGAAUGAUGAAGGUCUUAGGAUUGUAAAAUUCUUUCGUCGGGGACGAUAAUGACGGUACCCGGAGAAGAAGCCCCGGCUAACUUCGUG
rnacentral:rRNA from 1 species